UCAGCACUCAGGCUGCUUUACCCAUGUCUUUGGGUUAUUGCUUCACUUACAAAAGCAAAACCAGAACUCACAGACAAUGAAUUAUGGGUGUGGUUGAUGCAAGAAAGAUGAAGCAGAGUUCCAACCAGGGGAUCCAUACUAGAAAUGAAGACAGUGGGUCUCCAUCAAAAUAUUGAUGAGUGAAUACAAAUAUACAUGUUUUUAAGAGACGGGGUUUCACCAUGUUAACCAGGUUGGUCUCCAUCUCCUGACCUCGUGAUCCGCCUGCUUCAGCCUCCCGAAGUGCUGGUAUUACAGGCGUGAGCCACUGCACCCAGCCAUCUCAGGAGACAUCAGUUGUGUUUCUGUAACAACAGCACCCCAAACAGUGCUUGUACGGGCCAUAUUGCCAAUCUGUACCUGCAAGGAACAAGGAGUAUAUUGUGUAGCUCAUCAAGAGGAAAAGGACAUUAUAUGUAAAACAAAUAUAAGAAGACUCUGAAAGUUGGAGAAAAGACGUUAGACCAUCUGGAGACCUUGGGAUCUGAGGAACAACAUAGCAGUGAGUUCCCUGGGUUUCCUUUCUGGCUUAUAUAUCCCAAACUGGGUGCUGGAGAAGCCAGCAACCUAGACAGACACAACAACAGGUACAGACAAAAAAGAAAAAAAAAAAGCCCCAGCAAAUGCCACUGUCUACACCCAAAGAACCAGGAAAUGUGCAGCCUUCCAAGACAAUACCACUUUAUUGCAGCCAAAAUGGCAGAAAAAACUGUGGCCCCACCCCAACUAGCGAAAUCCAAAGGGGAGCCUAGACUUUCCUCCUUGCCAGGCUGUAAGGAAGCACCUCAAACCCCCUACCAGGACGAUGUCAGAGAAGGAUGAGUAGGGAGCUGGGACUUCUAUCAUCACUGAGCAGUAACUGGGGCUGUCCUCUCCCACAGUGUCAGUGAAGACCACAUGGGGACAUGGAAGCAGUGACAAGACCCCUCUACCCUCUCUCAGCAGUAAGAGGAGCCCCUCCCCAUCCCAGGUGUCAACAGAGGCUGAGUGGGAACCUGGACUUCUACCCCCACCUGGUAGUAACAAGACAGGCUCCACCCCUUUCUUUGCCAGAGUGGUGUUGGAAGAAGCCAAUAAAAACAAAAGGUGUAAAUGAGACUGAGCGUCUCAUAACGUGAUAUCCAAAAUGUCUAGCUUUCCAUCGAAGAUCAUAUCAAGAGCCAGGAAAAUCUCAACUUGAAUGGAAAAAGACAAUCAAUAGAUCCCAACAUCAAAAUGACAGAGAUGGCAGAAUUAUCUGACAAAUAUUUUAAAGACAGCCAUUAUAUAAAUGUUUGAAAUAAACUAUUACAAACAUACUUGAAACAAACAAAAAAUAGAAAGUCUCAGCAGAAGUAUAGAAGAUAUAAAGAAGAACCAGAUAAAAAUUUUAGAACCGAAAAAUACAAAAGCCGAAACAAAAGACAACAGCAGAAUAAACGAGACAGGAAGAAAAUCAAUGAACUUGAAGAUAGAGCAGCAGAAAUUAAGCAAUAUGAAUAACAGAGAGAAAAUAGACUAAAAAAAUGAAAAGAACCUCAGGGACUUAGGAAACUAUAACAAAAGAUCUAACAUUCCUGUCACUGGAGUCUUGCAAGGAGAGAAGAAAAAGGGCGGGGCUAAGAAAAGGACACAAAGAAAUCAUAGCUAAAAGCUUCCAAAAAAAGUGAUGUAAUCUUAUUGGCAAUUAAGAAUUCAAAUUGAAUAAUAAAAUGACAUUUUUAUCCUUUGCUUCUCUAAUUGGCAAAAAAUAUUUAUGAUUGAUGACAUUGCAUAUUAGUAGGUAUAUGAGAAAUGAGGAUUCUUACAGUUAGUGACAGUUUAAAUUGAUGAUAUGUUUUUCAUUAAGUUUUUCUGAAUUGUCUAUUGCUAUCAAAAUUGUAAAUGUGCACAUUCCCUGAUGCUGAAAUUACACUUCCAGAAAUAAAUCUAUCCCAUGAAAUAGCCACAUAUGUUCAGAAAUCAUAUAAACUAUAUAAAGAAUAUUUAUUGCAAUAUCAUGUGUAAUCAUGGAAAAUUACAAAUAAAAACAUCCAUUAAAACAGAAAUAGUUAAUGAAUUGUGACUUAUUUGUACUAUAGAUGUGACAGAGUUGUUUAAUAAAUGUAUGAGAUUGACUUACACAAUUUGAUAUGGAAAUAACUCUAAGUUUUAAAAUGCUAGUAAAGGAACACUAUGUAUAAUAUGGUCCCAAACACAAGUACACCAAGAAAGGUGUAUGUUUGUGAAUACAAUGCAUAGAAAGUGGACAUAGAGAUAAGACAUUUUAAGAGUAUCCCCAGCUCCAAGCUGUGUUUGCUUGAGCCUUUGAAUAAACUGAAAAAAACAGAAAAUGUCACUGUUAAAGAAUGGUGUGGAAGGACUGAUAGAGAUUAUGAGGUGAUCAAAAUCUCCCUAAAGCAAAGGUUGACAGUUAAUUGAGUUUGACAGAGGUGGGUGACAAAGGGAAAUGUUCACACUUCGUUCUCCACUCUUUUAUGUCUUUGGCUCAUGUCCA
rnacentral:lncRNA from 1 species